rnacentral:rRNA from 1 species
AACGCGAAGAACCUUACCGGGGUUUGACAUGUGUGGGAAAGCCCUAGAGAUAGGGUCCUCCUUCGGGAUCCAUGCACAGGUGCUGCAUGGCUGUCGUCAGCUCGUGCCGUGAGGUGUUGGGUUAAGUCCCGCAACGAGCGCAACCCUCGUCGCUAGUUGCUUUUUCUAGCGAGACUGCUGCGCAAAACGCAGAGGAAGGUGGGGAUGACGUCAAGUCAUCAUGGCCUUUAUGCCCCGGGCUACACACACGCUACAAUGGGCGGUACAGACGGUUGCGAAGCCGCGAGGUGGAGCUAAUCCGACAAAACCGUCCUCAGUUCAGAUUGCAGGCUGAAACUCGCCUGCAUGAAGGCGGAGUUGCUAGUAACCGCAGGUCAGCACACUGCGGUGAAUACGUUCCCGGGCCUUGUACACACCGGAGUGC